rnacentral:rRNA from 1 species
GACGAACGCUGGCGGCGUGCCUAAUACAUGCAAGUAGAACGCCGAAGAGAGGAGCUUGCUCUUCUUGGAUGAGCUGCGAACGGGUGAGUAACGCGUAGGUAACCUGCCUUGUAGCGGGGGAUAACUAUUGGAAACGAUAGCUAAUACCGCAUAACAAUGGAUGACACAUGUCAUUUAUUUGAAAGGGGCAAUUGCUCCACUACAAGAUGGACCUGCGUUGUAUUAGCUAGUAGGUGAGGUAAUGGCUCACCUAGGCGACGAUACAUAGCCGACCUGAGAGGGUGAUCGGCCACACUGGGACUGAGACACGGCCCAGACUCCUACGGGAGGCAGCAGUAGGGAAUCUUCGGCAAUGGGGGCAACCCUGACCGAGCAACGCCGCGUGAGUGAAGAAGGUUUUCGGAUCGUAAAGCUCUGUUGUAAGUCAAGAACGGGUGUGAGAGUGGAAAGUUCACACUGUGACGGUAGCUUACCAGAAAGGGACGGCUAACUACGUGCCAGCAGCCGCGGUAAUACGUAGGUCCCGAGCGUUGUCCGGAUUUAUUGGGCGUAAAGCGAGCGCAGGCGGUUUGAUAAGUCUGAAGUUAAAGGCUGUGGCUCAACCAUAGUUCGCUUUGGAAACUGUCAAACUUGAGUGCAGAAGGGGAGAGUGGAAUUCCAUGUGUAGCGGUGAAAUGCGUAGAUAUAUGGAGGAACACCGGUGGCGAAAGCGGCUCUCUGGUCUGUAACUGACGCUGAGGCUCGAAAGCGUGGGGAGCGAACAGGAUUAGAUACCCUGGUAGUCCACGCCGUAAACGAUGAGUGCUAGGUGUUGGAUCCUUUCCGGGAUUCAGUGCCGCAGCUAACGCAUUAAGCACUCCGCCUGGGGAGUACGACCGCAAGGUUGAAACUCAAAGGAAUUGACGGGGGCCCGCACAAGCGGUGGAGCAUGUGGUUUAAUUCGAAGCAACGCGAAGAACCUUACCAGGUCUUGACAUCCCGAUGCUAUUUCUAGAGAUAGAAAGUUACUUCGGUACAUCGGUGACAGGUAGUGCAUGGUUGUCGUCAGCUCGUGUCGUGAGAUGUUGGGUUAAGUCCCGCAACGAGCGCAACCCCUAUUGUUAGUUGCCAUCAUUCAGUUGGGCACUCUAGCGAGACUGCCGGUAAUAAACCGGAGGAAGGUGGGGAUGACGUCAAAUCAUCAUGCCCCUUAUGACCUGGGCUACACACGUGCUACAAUGGUUGGUACAACGAGUUGCGAGUCGGUGACGGCGAGCUAAUCUCUUAAAGCCAAUCUCAGUUCGGAUUGUAGGCUGCAACUCGCCUACAUGAAGUCGGAAUCGCUAGUAAUCGCGGAUCAGCACGCCGCGGUGAAUACGUUCCCGGGCCU